rnacentral:rRNA from 1 species
UACGAAGGGGGCUAGCGUUGCUCGGAAUCACUGGGCGUAAAGCGCACGUAGGCGGAUUGUUAAGUCAGGGGUGAAAUCCUGGAGCUCAACUCCAGAACUGCCUUUGAUACUGGCGAUCUUGAGUCCGGGAGAGGUGAGUGGAACUGCGAGUGUAGAGGUGAAAUUCGUAGAUAUUCGCAAGAACACCAGUGGCGAAGGGCGGCUCACUGGCCCGGUACUGACGCUGAGGUGGCGAAAGCGUGGG